rnacentral:lncRNA from 1 species
GAUUAUACAAAACCAUUUAGUCUUUCGCUCCUAUCUGAUGACCUCGUUGAAAUAUUUGUCCUUUAUUUUUAAUCACCCGUUUUCGUCAUUUAGAGUGUUUUAUCUUAAUUUCUUCGACUUUUUAUGGCGAGCUUGAUUUUAGAUUUUGAUUCAGACAAGCGUGUCUGGCAUCUUUUGUGUCGAAAGACCAAAUUUGAUUUCCGUUAGAGGCUUCUUAGCUGGUCUCUGAAAAUAUUUCCAAGUAAAAAAGGGAGGGACAAUGAUGAUUUGUAUCAAUGGUCUCGUUCGUCGUAAUUGGCUCUUUAAUGGCCUUGCCGACCAUCCUGAUAUAUCACCACCCAUAUUCUGAGUCCCAUCCGAAUAAUGACUUCAAAAAGAGUUUGUUCUUUUUUUAUAUAAACAAACCCAUUUAGAAGAACAUCACCCAUUUAGAAGGAUCGUCAUUGUGCCAGGAAGGAAUAGACUCUUCUUAUAAAGAGCCAUAUGGCAACACACUAAUAGUGAGAUAGAGGUUGAGAAGGUCCGAUCUCGGCAUGAAAAGAAAUAUCACACUGGCAGAGUUGUCAUGAUGAUCCCCAGCUAGUAAUUGACACAUGGCGACCUUGCAGGCCUUACAUCAUCAAGCUACAAUGACAUCUCGAAAAGCUCAAGGAUUAUGAAACUUUAUUUCGAAUGUUGCAAACAAGAGAACAUAAGAUUAUGCAGAAUACUUAAGAGAAUAGGAUGAGUUUCCGGCCAGGAGAGAAAAAGAAAGUUAUCUUUGCACUGAAAUUACACUUGCCAAAUUAUGAAAUCUUAGUUCUGUAAUUUUUAUAUUCAUGCAUUCAUUUUUUAUAUUUUUUAAUUAUAACAAAUAAAAUAGAAAUUGAACUAAUAAUGAAGAGUAAGUUUUAAAUAUUUUUUAUACGAAACAAUAUUAAGAAGCCUGACAAAUUUUAUGAAAAAAUCAACUAGGAAAUAAAGUGUUUAUUACUUGGACUAAGGAAGAAAUACAAUAUUUAAGUAUGGUUUGGUACUUGAGGUGUAAAUGCAGGCUUGUCGAAUCAUAUUAAAAAACUAGUUGCAAAUUCUCUUCAUUAUCUUAUUUUUUAAGUAUUGUAAUUAUAUUAUUGUUUAUUGAAUUUACUUGAAAUAAUUUGAAUUAAUUAUCCAAUUUAGUAAUACAUUUAAUUCAACUUCCUUUUAGAUGUUAAGUUGUCUUAAUCAUUGAAUAACAAUUGAUAUCAGAGCUUAGUUCUUAUAUAUAAAGUUUGCUUAGACUUUUAGACCCAUUAGAACUAUAAGUAUAAGUCGUAAUAGAUAGAUGUUUGUAAUUGUUGAUGACUUUACAAGAUAUACUUGGGUUUUGUUAUUGAAAUCUAAAGAUGCAAAACUUGUGAAUUUGAAAAGUUUUCAAAAAAAGUUGAGAAUAAAAAGGUUUUUUUCAUAAUAAAUAUAAGAAGUGAUUAUGAUGAUUAAUUUAUAAGUUAUUUGUUUAAAACGUUCUGAGAAGGAAAAUGAUUCCAUCAUCACUUUUCAAAUCCAAAACUCUUAAACAAAAUAGGGUUAUGGAAAGGAAAAAUCGGUUUUUUCAAGAAAUGGCAAGAACUAUAUUAAAUGAAUUGACACAUCCAAAUGUUUUUUGGUAGAAGCCACAAACACUUCUUUCUAUGUUUUAAACUGUGAUACUUUGAGACUAGAGUUGAAAAGGACCCAUUAUAAGCUUUGAGGAGAAAGAAAACUCAACAUCUCAUAUUUUAAGGUUUUUUGUUCAAGAUGCUUUAUUCUCAAUACUGAAAAUAAUUUAGAUAAAUUUAGUUAAAAUCCGAUUAUGGAAUUUUUCUUGACUAUUUCUCCUUUAGCAAAGUAUAUAGAGUUUAUAAUAAUAGAACAAUUUGUCUUGAGGAUCCUAUACAUGUCGCUUUUGAGAAAACUCAAAACAACAAGAUUGUUGAAAUUCUUGAUGACAUAAUAAAAGUGUUCAAUAUUUAAGUCUUGAUGAUAAGACUCUAUGAAGGCAAACAAUAAAGUAAUGGACAAAGACUAGUUAAGCUCAAGCAAUCAGGAAGAGAUAGUAAGUAACUCCUUUACACCACCAAAUAAGCUAAGGUAUGUAAGUUCUUACCCUUCCAAAUUAAUUAUUGAUAAUCCUUUUGGAUGAACUAGGACUAAAGCUUCACUUAGAAAUAUUAGCGGUCACUUUGCUUUUGUUUCUUAAAUAGAACCUAAAUAAUUUCUAGAAGCCGAUAAUGAUGAAAAAUGGAUUUUGGCUAUACAUGAUGAGCUAAAUCAAUUUGAAAGAAUGAUGUCUGGGAACUAAUCCCUAUACCUAAUAAUCAAUCUAUAAUUGGAACAAAAUGAGUGUUCAAGAACAAAGUUGAUGAACAUGGAACAAUAGCUAGAAACAAAGUUAAAUUAGUUGCUAAAGGUUUUAAUAAAGAAGAAUGUCUAGAUUGUGAAGGAACCUUUGCAUUGAGUGUAUUUUUAAAUGGAUUUACCAUGGAAAUCUAUGUAGAGCAACCACAAAGUUUUGAAAUUUUUUAUUUUUUCAAUAAUGUUUUCAAACUUAAAAAGAUUUUGUAUAGUUUAAAACUAACACCUAAGACAUCGUAUGAUAGACUCAAAUCUUUUCUUAUUAACAAUGCGCUUAAUAUUGAUAAAAUUAACAUUGUUUUUUUUUCUUACAAAAAAAAAAGGAAAAGAUAUCUUAAUCGUAUAAAUUUAUGUUGAUGAUAUUAUAUUUGGUAUUACUAAUAAAUAUCUUUGUAAGGAUUUUGUAAAGUGCAUGCAAGAUGAAUAUAAAAUUAGCUUGAUGGGAGAGUUGAUUCUUCGUUGGAUUACAAAUCAAAGUGUUGAUUUCCUAGGUUGUCUAGACUCUAGCAUGGCAUUGGACCAAACUUGAGAAACUCCUUCUUUUCUUUAGCUAUAAAGACUAAUUUAGAGGUGGAUUUAGUUGGUGUUUCUAUUAGGAGUUAGUUGUUAGCCUUCUCUUACAUGUGAAAAAAAAAACUGUAGAUUGGAAAGGAAAACUUAUGAGAAUUUCCUUUUUUAUUCUUGAAUCAAUUACUUUAGUGUCACUUCAAUUGCUAGAACCAAAGUGAUAUUCCAUAGUACAAAUAUCUUUGUAAAUCUUGUCAUGUUAAUGCAGAAAGUAAAGAUGGGAGAAGAGAAAGAGAGAAAAUUAUAUUAUUUUAAUAAUGAAAACUCAUUUUUUUUUCUUCAUAUGAUUAUGUCCUUUAUAUAUGAUUAGAGGCGACGGUUACUUCAUUUAGUAAAUACUCUAAUAACUUGGACCAGGCCUAUUCAUCAUGGACGGACCAAGCCUAACCCAAUAACCAACAAAAACAAAAAGAAAUCAUUUAAUGGCCUGUAUCUAUAUGUAAAUCAUUUUCCCUGCUAUUUAUUUAAAUUCAAUUCAAUUAAAUAAAUGGCACAACAUUACCAUGCAUGGCUUAAUAUGUUUCCACAUGUAGUAAACAAUCCUUUUUCUUGAUUUUAAUGGUAAAAGAAUUUAUGAUGACUUCCAUGCACUAAGGUUAUAUCCUUCAUCAAUUAGAUCUUAAAUUAUACAUUUAUAUGUGAAUUAGUAUACUAGAAAAGUUAUUUUAUUGUAUCUUGCUUAAGGAUUGGAAUGACAUGCAAUAAAAAAGAAAAAAAACAUUGUUUUAGGCCCUUGUUUUAAACUAUUUUUUCACACAAAACCUUUUUUUAUGCUUGAUUAGUAAAUGAUCUAGGAUUUAUUUACUUCAAUAAAAACAUGCAUAUGAUUUCAGUCCAAAGCUCACUUUAAAUUUGUUUAAUACUAAAAGAUGUAAAAAGUUAUAUCUAACAAACUCCAAUUUCAAAUAGGUGAAUCCAGCACAUGCAUGCAACUUAAGCCUCUUUAUCCAUGUUAUUUUCUCAAUACAAAUUUCGGUACUUUGGGGGUCUAUUUUUAAUUCUUGAACUUCUUAUUAUACAAGCUAAAUAAAAAUACAUUAAAGUCUUAUAUUUUUUCAAUGUAAGAUAAAUAAUUUUGAGUUUUAUAAAACAUGUCAACUAAAAGUGAUAUAAAAUCAGUUUUUUAUUUAUCCAUAAUUUAUUUUAAACAUAUUAAUAUUUUAGGUUAAGAAAAUUGUUGUUGAAAAAUAAUCUACUAAAAUUUCAAUCCUAAAAUAGAGUAGUAACUCAUUUUUAAUUUGUUCCACUAACCCUAUUUUAAAAUUAAUUUUAUAGCAAGAUCAACGACCAUGAUUAUAAUUCCAAGCAGAUCUAAAUGAUACAAUUAUUACUUGAAAAGCAUAUAAAAAUCUGAAAAGGAGUCGAUGGGCCAACAAAUUUCUACUCGACUUAGCCCAAUCUUCCGUUUGUUCUGUGUACCUUAGGCCUUUGGCCGUAAAUUGCACAGAGAAGAGUAAACCUAAAACGCCUGGUCGUUCUUCUGUUCUCGAAAGCUCCUAUAAAACAGCCUAAAACCCUAAUUCUCCUUCAUCGCCACUCUUUAUAAAGAGCCUCCAAGGCAUCCUCUCUGUCCAUAUCUGGUUCUUUCGUGGUUUAGGGUUCAUUUUACUCUGGCUUGUCUCCUUAGGAAUUUCAUCUAUUCAUGUCUUUUUUCUGGCCGAAAUGAUCAAGGGGCAGUGACGAUUUCAUCGUGAAAGGUCUCGUUCGUCGUAACUGGCUCUUUAAGGGCCUUGACGACCAUCCUGAUAUAUCACCACCCAUAUUCCGAGUCCCUUUUUCUUAUUUUCUGCUACUUUCUUUUUCGUCAUGAUAGUUGUUCGGCCGAUGAUUAAACAAAAAUUCAAAGACAAGCAUAUGUCUGAAACUAUGCGUGUUGAUAAAUCUAAUCUUCUCUAUGAGGCCGAAUCUUUUAUGAAUUUCUGUCAGUUUUUCAUAAUCUCUUUUUGAUGCUGUUGCCAUUGAUGAAAGAACUGGUAUAUUUGUCACUAAUGAUGAAGCUGUGAUUACAAACUUACCACUACUGCCUUCCUUCUGAGGCCCUGUUUUUAUAUGAUUUGCAUAAGAUCUUGCUCCCCAAAUUUGGUUUUUGUUUGUCUAUUAGAUCUGUUUUAGAUUGAGAACUUGGUCAUAUGAUGAUUACAAGCAUAGUUCAACUGAAUCUCUGUGAUUAUACAAAACCUUUUAGUCUUUCGCUCCUAUCUGAUGACCUCGUUGAAAUAUUUUCUUCCUUUAUUUUUCAUUACCCGUUUUCGUCAUUUAGAGUGUUUUAUCUUAUUUUCUUCGACUUUUUAUGGAGAGCUUGUGCCCCUUGAUUUUAGAUUUUGAUUCAGCCACACAUGUCUGUCUUAUUAGCUGGUCUCUGAAAAUAUUUCCAAGUAAACAAGGGAGAGGGGCAAUGAUGAUUUGUAUCAAAGGUCUCGUUCGUCGUAAUUGGCUCUUUAAGGGCCUUGCCGACCAUCCUGAUAUAUCACCACCCAUAUUCUGAGUCCUAUCCGAAUAAUGACUUCAAAAAAAGUU